UAACUAUGAAUAUUAUAUCUAUAUGUAAAUAAGAUCAUCAGCAAAUACGAUAAAGAUUUCUACAUCUGGGUUAUUAAUUGAAGAAUCAAGAACAGACUUUCAAAAUACGACGAUUUACGCUUUCAAUAAUGGAAAUGCUAUGAAUAAUGACUGCAACGACUGUACCAUUCAAGUUUGUAUGUGUAUAAAAGUGAUUCCUCGCUAAAACAACUGAGUAACAUGAAUCCAGGUGAAAACAUAUGAUAUACUAACAAAGAAGCACAGGGAGACUUAAGAGAUACAUAUAUGACACCAUAUAACAAUUUGUAUUGAUGGAUGUGUUGAUCUUGUGCUGUUGGCAACCAAGUGAAUGAAAUAAUUUAUGAUGAAAACGUAUGACUGACGAGAAUCGAUUGAGCAUUGAAGCACUCACCUCCAUAUAAGGUGAACUGUGCGUCGUUUGUGCAUGCCGAUUGGAUAGAAAUUGGAAUGCUAUGAUUAAAGGUCACAUGAAAUGCUUGAUAUAACUUUGCUUCAUAUGAAAGCUUAGCUAAUGAUUAGCCUAUUCGCCAAAUUUGAAAGUCCAAUGUUUUAUAUUUUAUGAGAUAUGGUCUUCUUCAUGUAUUCAUUAUGCGAAUGAUUUUACCGCACUACAUAUUGCGUUUAUAUAUGGCAAUAAGGCAAAUUGGCAAUAGAGAAAGCGAGAAAAGAUUACAAAGAUUUCAAUUCAAUUUUGGUCAGAUGUACUUUCUUUGAAAUGUCUGCCUUGCAGUAGUAAUGGAUUGAUAGUACUUUACAAUACAAUAACCGCACUUCAAGAAUUGCAAAUUCACUGGACCUAAGGUGAACAAUGUAAUGUUAUAAAGUAGAAAUGGACUCUAUUUUUAUUACAGAUAUGAUAUUAAAUAUUUUCCUGUUA